CGGCUGCAUGUGCUCGCUUCCAACAAUCUUUAUCCAAACACCUGUGCACCUUGUGCGAGGGUCUCUUUCCAGGCUAAUUGCCAUCUUUUGGUGAUUGCUGGGUUUCCCUCCCAAAUCCCUUCAUACACUCCUUUAGUAUUGAACGUGCUAGUGCCGCAAGGCCUUUAAUCUUAAUACAACUUUUAACAACGGAUCUCUUGGCUCUCGCAUCGAUGAAGAACGCAGCGAAAUGCGAUAAGUAAUGUGAAUUGCAGAAUUCAGUGAAUCAUCGAAUCUUUGAACGCACCUUGCGCUCCUUGGUAUUCCGAGGAGCACACCUGUUCGAGUGUCGUGAAAUUAUCAGGUUGGAUACUUUUUAAAAGUCAUCUCAGCCUGGUGUUGGCUCUGCCGUGCCUUUUGUUGGAACGGGCUGGCCUUAAAAGCAUUAGCUGACUCUUCUUGAGUGUUGGUUCUCCCCAGCGUGAUAAUUGACCCCCUGAUCGCUGAGGGACAUCUCCCGAGAUGCCAAUUCUCGUUUGGGUUGCUUCGAAUUUGGUUCACAAAAAGGUCCCUUUUGGGUCUUUGU
rnacentral:rRNA from 1 species